UGAAAAUUUGGAUUCUGGGGGUGUUUUUGAAAAAAAAUCAGAAACCGGGGGUCAAAACGCAAUUUAAAAAAAUUGUGCAACGUCAGCAGCCUCGGCCAACCAGGACCCGCCGCGUGGCAAGGCAACGCUGACCAGGGAACGGGGCACGUGGGCGAUCCGCGUGCGUGCGAUCGGACGACCCAGAUUCAAUCAGGCACGAACGGCCCAGAUUGCAUCGCGAUGGACGGUCCAGAUUUAAUCCAAAUUAAAUCGCGAUCGAACGGUCCAGAUUUAAUCUUGAUGGACGGUUGAGAUUAAAAGGCAAAUGGUAUAAAUAACCCCACCCACACCUGACCACAAAAACCCUAGCCGCCAGUGCCUUGCUGGAGAAGAAGAACCAGACGCCGGAGGAGCCGCCCGCCGCCGCACCAGGGAAGUUUUCGACCGCCGAUCGAGGUAAAUUUUCUCCCCCUUGCUCGUUUUCCGAUGCUAAGUCCGCCUAUGGCCAAACUGGAGCCAAACCACUGGCCAAACGGCUGGAAAACCCAGCCGAAGCCCAGCAGCGCCGCCGCGUCCCUCCUCGGUUUUUGCCUCCAAUGAGGCACUUCCCGGCCUCUGUUCGAUGUAAAUUUUAUACCACUGUGAUCACCGUUCUUUUCUCUACAGGUUGAUUGGAGCCAAACAUCAAAACGCGACUCACGCCGGAGGAGCUGCCGCACCCGAGAGCACCGUCGCCAGUAAGUUUCAGUUUUUCGUGAUUUUUUUGCCCACCGAGGGCCCUAGGGUUGUUUUAUCGCAGGGACCGAUGCAAGUGUGGCCGAAUUCGACCGAAAACAGCCAACCCGAUGCGAAUCGCCGCCGCUUGCGGCGGCGCCGUCGCCGGAGCACGGCGAAGUCACUGUGUCAGAAUUGCGAUAUUGGUCGAAAGGGGCCCUAGGUAUGAUUUGAGAUUUUUUGGGACACGUGCAGGUACCGGUAGUGCAUUUCAGUUUUCCGAGAAAAAUUCAGAAAAAUUAGGGACA
rnacentral:lncRNA from 1 species